AACCAUUAGCUAGUAGUCCACAUUUAGUUCUCAAAAUAGAAAAUAAGUUAAAAAAUAAAUAAAUAAAUAAAAAAAAACCAAACCCCAUCAUCCUCAACAGGUCACUCCACCCUCAUUUCCUCAACACCUCAACUCUUCCUCAACUCCUCAACGCCUCAACUCCGUAUUCUUCUCCAAACCCGCGAAAUUGUAAAUUAUUUUUGGCUCCAAAUUUUUUUGAUCAUGAAUAAGCAGUUACUCCACUUUUCAGUUGUUGAUCUGUUCUCAUUAUACAACACACUCAUCAUCUUAAAAUCAUCAUAUCCCCCAAUCGGUUACUCUACUUACUCACCUCCUUUCUUUCUACUUAGUUGGAUUUGAUGCCGGCGAAAUCGUUGUUGUAUUCUGAAUUUCAUGUCGAAUUAACUUACAAACGAAUUCACUAAUGGUAGCUAGUGGGGUUGCUUACACUAUGUGUGGGUUAUAUGCAUCUGCACUAAUUUUCCCACCUCUCGACUAAGCUUGGAGCUAUAAGAGGUUCUGGUGAUGAGCAUCAAACUCAUGAACCAAGAAAGUCAGGAUAUGAGAGGCUGAGAAUGGAAACAAUUAGAAAAAAUAUGACAAGAAUGGAAGAAUUAGGUUUGAAGGAACAUGCUAAGUCACUGAUGGCGCAAGUUCAAAAUAAUAGAGGCAAUCAAAGUAAGAAUAAAAAGAAAAAGGUUUCGGGAGACGAUGAGCUCUAUAGGCCUAACCAAGAUAUGGAGCAUGAGCUUGAUUCCACCGAUGAAGAGUUACCCAUUCCACAGUCUAAAAGUAAAGACAAGUCCAAUGCUAUUCAAUGGAAGCUGAAAAGGAUAAGCCUAGAAGAGGACCCACUAUGUGCUACAAAGUCCAUGGAUGCACCGAAGAAGAACGCUUGGAAAUUACCUUGAAUGAGCAUGGACAACCUGUUGGUCCGGAUGACAGUACAUGCAAUGAGUUCAUUAGCUUCUUAGGAACAAUAGCUCGAAAAGCAAAUAUCCUACCACUGACUGUCAAGAAUUGGCCCAUACUAAGGAACGAGAAGAAAGAAGAACUUUGGGAUUAUGUCUUGAAACAUUUUAUUGUCCCAAUUGAGGGAAAAAAAUGGGUUUUGCAAACCAUUGGUGCUGCUUGGAGAAGGUACAAAUGUUAUUUAAAAAGAGUACACUUUCAUAAAUAUGAAAUGAUAAAACAAGGAUGAUCAAACGACCAAAACUAGUCCCAAAAAAUAUGUUCCAAGACUUGUUAAAGAUUUGGAAUGAUGUCAAAUAUGAGGAACGAUGUAUGAAAAUAAAGCAAAUCGAUUAGUUGGAAAGGAAAAAUACAUUAUGCAUACUCCAGGACCAAAGAGUUUUGCUAGGGUUCGAUGUUAGUGGAAAAAGGAUAAUAAAACAACAAAAAAUCCUAGUUUAGCUCAAAUGUUCAUAGCAACACGCAAGGAGAAGCUAACAAAGCGAAAGUCUGGUGACCUAAGGGACAAAUUAAUGACUGAACUUGAGAAAUUAGAUUCAGAGGAGGAGGUUGAAAGUGUGAUUUCAACUAUUAUUGGUUCUGAUAACAAGAAAAAGUCUCGAUUAAAAUUUCAUGGAAGAGAUGUUUCAUCAACUUAAUUAAAGCAGAAGGCCUUGAUGAAGGAAGCUAUAGAGAAGCAUGCUAAGGAGGUUCAAGCUCUACAAAAAGAUUAUGAGGACAAAAGGCAACACAAGAUAGAAGGGAGAUAGCAUAUGGUCUUAGCUCCAUCCUUUCUCAAAUUCAACAACAAAAUCCAGAAAUGUCUUUUGAUUUAAGUAUGCUUGGCUCUUUAUUUCUUGAUAAUCAAUCUGAGAAGGAUGGUGGUAGUACAACAGAAAUGCUUCGAUUUCAAUCUUCGGCUUCUACAUCCAAGGGAGAUGAACAAGAAGAAGAUGAAGAAGGUUGCGAGUAAGAAGAAGAAGAAUAUGACUUUAUGGCUCAAUUUGAAGUUGCUUUAACCUUUUAUUAUUUCUUCUAUUUUUUAGUUAGACUAAUAUUAUGGCCUACAACAUUCUAUUAAACAAUAGAUUAUUUAGAUAGAUUUGAUGUUGAAAACAAGUUGAUAUUGUUUUGGUUGUAUUGUUUUACUAAUUAAUUUUAUAAGUUUGGGAUUAUGUAGUCAAAUGCUUAUUACAUGUUUUAAUGUUCAACAUUUUUCUAAUAUAACAAAUUCAAAAUAGUA